CCCUAUGGACGGGCCUUGGCGGGGGUGCGCUUGCGCACGCCGGGUCCUAUAGCUCCGGUCUUCCAACCUCGACUCGUGCCCGUCCUCCCCA
rnacentral:antisense_RNA from 2 species